rnacentral:rRNA from 1 species
AAAGCGGAGGAAAAGAAACCAACAGGGAUUGCCCCAGUAACGGCGAGUGAAGCGGCAACAGCUCAAAUUUGAAAUCUGGCUUCGGCCCGAGUUGUAAUUUGUAGAGGAUGCUUUGGGCGCGGCGCCUUCUGAGUUCCCUGGAACGGGACGCCACAGAGGGUGAGAGCCCCGUAUAGUUGGACGCCUAGCCUGUGUAAAGCUCCUUCGACGAGUCGAGUAGUUUGGGAAUGCUGCUCAAAAUGGGAGGUAAAUUUCUUCUAAAGCUAAAUACCGGCCAGAGACCGAUAGCGCACAAGUAGAGUGAUCGAAAGAUGAAAAGCACUUUGAAAAGAGGGUUAAAUAGCACGUGAAAUUGUUGAAAGGGAAGCGCUUGUGACCAGACUUGCGCCGGGCCGAUCAUCCGGGGUUCUCCCCGGUGCACUCGGCCCGGCUCGGGCCAGCAUCGGUUCUCGCGGGGGGACAAAGGCCUCGGGAAUGUAGCUCCUCCGGGAGUGUUAUAGCCCGGGGCGUAAUGCCCUCGCGGGGACCGAGGUACGCGCAUCUGCAAGGAUGCUGGCGUAAUGGUCACCAGCGACCCGUCUUG